CUUAUAAUUAAUGGAUUGCUACUAUAAAUUUAUAAAAAAAAACAACACAUUUUUAUUCAUUCAUUGCGCAUAUAUAUCAUAUAGAGAGCUCUCAGAGUUCAUCAAACGAUAAGGAAAAAGUACAGUUGGGUUUGGCAUGACAGAAGAAGAAGAAGAAGAAGAAGAAGAAGAAGCAAAUUAAUUGAAGGUUGAUAGAUAGGAUUAGGAGGUGUACGUAGUUGAUCAUACUGAGAUGGGUGCUGAAAGGCCAUAGUCAAGGCUCCACAGCUCAAACCCUCCAUUCACAAAGUCAUAGUAUCCUCCGUACAGCUUCAGUGUUUUGCUGCAGAGUCCAUCCCUCACAAAUGGAUAUGUCAGCAGAUUUGCCAGCGACACAUUCACCGCCUCCUGCAAUUCCAUUUUAAUUUUUUAAUUCACAUUCAGAAA
rnacentral:lncRNA from 1 species